GAUAAAAUGGCUGAAUUUUAGGCGAUAAAUUGUAAAUUUAUUAAUGGGUAUUUCUCUUUUAUCA
rnacentral:tRNA from 1 species